AAAGAUGAAUAAUCAUCAAUGAACAAUGAAUAAUCAACCAAUUUUUUUCAAAAGUUUGUUGUCGCCGCUGUUUGGAAUAUGCUAAACAAAGAUAAACAAAAAUGACGUCAUUACAAAUAGGGCUAUCUCAAGGAAAAAGUUUAUUUCGAGCCCGUUGUACCUCGAAUUCAUGCUGAUGUGGCUGUAAUAGAUGGAAAUAUUCUACAGAACGUUCGUGCUUCCAUGAUCCAUCAUGCAACCGUUAGUCUUGAAGUAUGAGGCAACUGAUUUGAGCACAUUAUUUGAUCAUAUGCACAUAUGAGACCAGUUGUUUUUUAUUAUUAAUCGUAGGUUAUAGUAAAUAAAAUAAUUAACUGAUAA
rnacentral:lncRNA from 1 species